AGAGAGAGAGAGGAGAGCGUCAACAGGGAUAUGCAUCAACAGUAACCUUGGGAAAAUUCUUUGCAUUAUCAUUAACAGCAGACUCGUACCUUUCCUCAGUGAAAACAAUGUACUGAGCAAAUGUCAAAAUUAUUGUACAACAGACCACAUAUUCACCCUGCACACCCUAAUUAACAAACAAACCAAAACAAAGGCAAGUCUUCUCAUGCUUUGUUGAUUUCAAAAAAGCCUUCGACUCAAUUUGGCAUGAGGGUCUGCUAUACAAAUUGAUGUAAAGUGGUGUUGGGGGUAAAACAUACGACAUUAUAAAAUCCAUGUACACAAACAAGUGUUUUUUGGGGGGGAGAUCUGGCUAAAAAUACUUGAAUCAGUUAUAGAGCCCAUUGCCCUUUAUGGUUGUGGGGUCUGGGGUCCGCUCACCAACCAAGACUUUACAAAAUGGGACAAACACCAAAUAUAUAUAUUUUUAUUUAUUUAACUAGGCAAGUCAGUUAAGAACAAAUUCUUAUUUUCAAUGACGGCCUAGGAACAGUGGGUUAACUGCCUUGUUCAGGACAACAGAUUUUUAACUUGUCAGCUCGGAGAUUCGAUCUUGCAACUUUUCGGUUAUUAAUCCAACGCUCUAACCACUAGGCUACCCUGCCGAGAGCUGCCCUGAAACUGAGACUCUGCAUGCAGAAUUCUGCAAAAAUAUCCCCCAUGUACAACGUUAAACACCAAAUAAUGCAUGCAGAGCAGAAUUAGGCUGAUACCCACUAAUUAUCAAAAUCCAGAAAAGUGACCUUAAAUUCUACAACCACUUAAAAUGAAGCGAUUCCCAAACCUUCCAUAACAAAGCCAUCAUCUACAGAGAGAUGAACCUGGAUAAGAGUCUCCUAAGCAAGCUGGUCCUGGGGCUCUGUUCACAAACACACCCCACAGAGCCCCAGGACAGCAGCACAAUUAGACCCAACCAAAUCAUGAGAAAACAAAAAGAUAAUUACUUGACACAUUGGAAAGAAUUAACAAAAAAACAGAGCAAACUAGAAUGCUAUUUGGCCCUAAACAGAGAGUACACAGCGGCAGAAUACCUGACCACUGUGACUGACCCAAAAUUAAGGAAAGCUUUGACUAUGUACAGACUCAGUGAGCAUAGCCUUGCUAUUGAGAAAGGCCGCCGUAGACAGACAUGGCUCUCAAGAGAAGUCAGGCUAUGUGCUCACUGCCCACAAAAUGAGUUGGAAACUGAGCUGCACUUCCUAACCUCCUGCCCAAUGUAUGACCAUAUUAGAGAGACAUAUUUCCCUCAGAUUACACAGAUCCACAAAGAAUUUGAAAACAAACCCAAUUUUGAUAAACUCUCAUAUCUACUGGGUGAAAUACCACAGUGUGCAUCACAGCAGCAAGAUGUGUGACCUGUUGCCACGAGAAAAGGGCAACCAGUGAAGAACAAACACCAUUGUAAAUACAACCCAUAUUUAUGCUUAUUUAUUUUAUCUUGUGUCCUUUAACCAUUUGUACAUUGUUAAAACACUGUAUAUAAACAUAAUAUGACAUUUGUAAUGUCUUUAUUGUUUUGAAACUUCUGUAUGUGUAAUGUGUACUGUUCAUUUUUAUUGUUUGUUUCAGUUUUGUAUAUUAUCUACCUCACUUGCUUUGGCAAUGUUAACACAUGUUUCCCAUGUCAAUAAAGCCCCUCGAAUUGAAUUGAAUUGAGAGACAGAGAGAGAGAGAUAUGUAGUUAGAGAGUUGAAACAAAGGCUGGUCCAUUUUUGAUUGCCAAGCCCAGCUCAGCCUCAGACUCCACACUCAUCAGAUAUCAGAUUAUCACAAAGG
ensembl:lncRNA